rnacentral:rRNA from 1 species
UGAGCUCGCGGCCUAUCAGCUUGUUGGUGGGGUAAUGGCCUACCAAGGCGUCGACGGGUAGCCGGCCUGAGAGGGUGUACGGCCACAUUGGGACUGAGAUACGGCCCAGACUCCUACGGGAGGCAGCAGUGGGGAAUAUUGCACAAUGGGCGCAAGCCUGAUGCAGCGACGCCGCGUGGGGGAUGAAGGCCUUCGGGUUGUAAACUCCUUUCGCUAGGGACGAAGCUUUUUUGUGACGGUACCUGGAGAAGAAGCACCGGCUAACUACGUGCCAGCAGCCGCGGUAAUACGUAGGGUGCGAGCGUUGUCCGGAAUUACUGGGCGUAAAGAGCUCGUAGGUGGUUUGUCGCGUCGUUUGUGUAAGUCCACAGCUUAACUGUGGGACUGCAGGCGAUACGGGCAUAACUUGAGUGCUGUAGGGGAGACUGGAAUUCCUGGUGUAGCGGUGAAAUGCGCAGAUAUCAGGAGGAACACCGAUGGCGAAGGC